rnacentral:rRNA from 1 species
GAGUUUGAUCCUGGCUCAGAUUGAACGCUGGCGGCAGGCUUAACACAUGCAAGUCGAACGGUAACAGGGAGAAAGCUUGCUUUCUUUGCUGACGAGUGGCGGACGGGUGAGUAAUGCUUGGGAAUCUGGCCUAUGGAGGGGGAUAACUACGGGAAACUGUAGCUAAUACCGCGUAGUAUCGAAAGAUGAAAGUGUGGGACCGCAAGGCCACAUGCCAUGGGAUGAGCCCAAGUGGGAUUAGGUAGUUGGUAAGGUAAAGGCUUACCAAGCCGACGAUCUCUAGCUGGUCUGAGAGGAUGACCAGCCACACUGGAACUGAGACACGGUCCAGACUCCUACGGGAGGCAGCAGUGGGGAAUAUUGCACAAUGGGGGGAACCCUGAUGCAGCCAUGCCGCGUGAAUGAAGAAGGCCUUCGGGUUGUAAAGUUCUUUCGGUGAUGAGGAAGGCAGUUACUUUAAUAGAGUAGUUGAUUGACGUUAGUCACAGAAGAAGCACCGGCUAACUCCGUGGGAGUUUGAUCCUGGCUCAGUGAAAUGCGUAGA